rnacentral:lncRNA from 1 species
GCCAAACAAAGCCUCACCUGGCUAUCCCGCCACCCUGGGGUUGGGCCUCCAAAGGCCCAGGAGGUCACCUAAGACACGGUGUUCUGAACAUGCAAGCCCGACAGCAUCUUGUCUACCAUCCUGCCAGCGUCCAGAGACCUGGGAAUAGGUGGAGACACCACUGCACCUACCUGAGAGGACUGAAGGAGACGAUCCGUGCAACUCACUCAGGAUACUGGAUCUUAAGCCAACGGGUGGACUUACAUUCGUCACCUCUGAUUCUGUCGCCUCCUGCGCGGUGACUUAACAAACACUUCUUACUCUCCAGCUCUGCUUCUUACUCUCCAGCUCUGCUGCCCUGUUCCAGUGCUGACACCAGACAACAGAUAAUUUCCCAAAUGCUUGUAUUAGCUCUUAGGAGUUCAUGUGUUCCUCCCCCAACCAAUAAAGCUGUUAAAUCCCAAUAACUGUCAGGAA